AGUGAACGCUGGCGGUAGGCCUAACACAUGCAAGUCGAACGGCAGCACAGGAGAGCUUGCUCUCUGGGUGGCGAGUGGCGGACGGGUGAGGAAUACAUCGGAAUCUACUCUGUCGUGGGGGAUAACGUAGGGAAACUUACGCUAAUACCGCAUACGACCUACGGGUGAAAGCAGGGGACCUUCGGGCCUUGCGCGAUUGAAUGAGCCGAUGUCGGAUUAGCUAGUUGGCGGGGUAAAGGCCCACCAAGGCGACGAUCCGUAGGUGGUCGGAGAGGAGGAUCAGCCACACGGGAACUGAGACACGGUCCAGACUCCUACGGGAGGCAGCAGUGGGGAAUAUUGGACAAUGGGCGCAAGCCUGAUCCAGCCAUACCGCGUGGGUGAAGAAGGCCUUCGGGUUGUAAAGCCCUUUUGUUGGGAAAGAAAUCCAGCUGGCUAAUACCCGGUUGGGAUGACGGUACCCAAAGAAUAAGCACCGGCUAACUUCGUGCCAGCAGCCGCCGUAA
rnacentral:rRNA from 1 species